rnacentral:rRNA from 1 species
AUUGAACGCUGGCGGCAGGCCUAACACAUGCAAGUCGAGCGGUAGCACAAGGGAGCUUGCUCUCUGGGUGACGAGCGGCGGACGGGUGAGUAAUGUCUGGGAAACUGCCUGAUGGAGGGGGAUAACUACUGGAAACGGUAGCUAAUACCGCAUAACGUCGCAAGACCAAAGUGGGGGACCUUCGGGCCUCACGCCAUCGGAUGUGCCCAGAUGGGAUUAG